rnacentral:rRNA from 1 species
UACGUAGGGACCAAGCGUUGUUCGGAUUUACUGGGCGUAAAGGGCGCGUAGGCGGUCAGCACAAGUCAAUUGUGAAAUCUCCGAGCUUAACUCGGAAAGGUCAACUGAUACUGUGCGACUAGAGUGCGGAAGGGGCAACUGGAAUUCUUGGUGUAGCGGUGAAAUGCGUAGAUAUCAAGAGGAACACCUGCGGCGAAGGCGGGUUGCUGGGCCGACACUGACGCUGAGGCGCGAAAGCCAGGGGAGCGAACGGG